GCCGCGUGAGGGAUGACGGCCUUCGGGUUGUAAACCUCUUUCAGUAUCGGCGAAGGUCCGGGGUUUUCCCCGGAUUGACGGUAGGUACAGAAGAAGCACCGGCCAACUACGUGCCAGCAGCCGCGGUAAUACGUAGGGUGCGAGCGUUGUCCGGAAUUACUGGGCGUAAAGAGCUCGUAGGUGGUCUGUCGCGUUGUCCGUGAAAACUCACAGCUCAACUGUGGGCGUGCGGGCGAUACGGGCAGACUAGAGUACUGUAGGGGAGACUGGAAUUCCUGGUGUAGCGGUGGAAUGCGCAGAUAUCAGGAGGAACACCAGUGGCGAAGGCGGCCUUCUGGACCAGUACUGACGCUCAUGCACGAAAGCGUGGGGAGCAAACAGGAUUAGAUACCCUGGUAGUCCACGCCCUAAACGAUGCGAACUGGAUGUUGGGUACAUUACGGUACUCAGUGUCGAAGCUAACGCGUUAAGUUCGCCGCCUGGGGAGUACGGUCGCAAGACUGAAACUCAAAGGAAUUGACGG
rnacentral:rRNA from 1 species